rnacentral:rRNA from 1 species
UACGGAGGGUGCGAGCGUUGUCCGGAAUCACUGGGCGUAAAGGGCGCGUAGGCGGCGCGUGGAGUCAACGGUGAAAGCUCGGCGCUCAACGCCGAGUCGGCCGUCGAUACUCCCGUGCUCGAGCACUGUAGAGGCAGGUGGAAUUCCGGGUGUAGCGGUGGAAUGCGUAGAGAUCCGGAAGAACACCGGUGGCGAAGGCGGCCUGCUGGGCAGUAGCUGACGCUGAGGCGCGACAGCGUGGGGAGCAAACAGG